CGUAGGGUGCGAGCGUUAAUCGGAAUUACUGGGCGUAAAGCGUGCGCAGGCGGUUUUGUAAGACAGGCGUGAAAUCCCCGGGCUCAACCUGGGAACUGCGCUUGUGACUGCAAGGCUAGAGUACGGCAGUGGGGGUGGAAUUCCACGUGUAGCAGUGAAAUGCGUAGAGAUGUGGAGGAACACCAAUGGCGAAGGCAGCCCCCUGGGUCGAUACUGACGCUCAUGCACGAAAGCGUGGGUAGCAAACAGGAUUAGAUACCCUGGUAGUCCACGCCCUAAACGAUGUCAACUAGGUGUUGGGUGGGUAAAACCAUUUAGUACCGGAGCUAACGCGUGAAGUUGACCGCCUGGGGAGUACGGCCGCAAGGUUA
rnacentral:rRNA from 1 species